GACGAACGCUGGCGGCGUGCUUAACACAUGCAAGUCGAACGGAAAGGCCCUGCUUUUGUGGGGUGCUCGAGUGGCGAACGGGUGAGUAACACGUGAGUAACCUGCCCUUGACUUUGGGAUAACUUCAGGAAACUGGGGCUAAUACCGGAUAGGAGCUCCUGCUGCAUGGUGGGGGUUGGAAAGUUUCGGCGGUUGGGGAUGGACUCGCGGCUUAUCAGCUUGUUUGUUGGGUAGUGGCUUACCAAGGCUUUGACGGGUAGCCGGCCUGAGAGGGUGACCGGCCACAUUGGGACUGAGAUACGGCCCAGACUCCUACGGGAGGCAGCAGUGGGGAAUAUUGCACAAUGGGCGGAAGCCUGAUGCAGCAACGCCGCGUGCGGGAUGACGGCCUUCGGGUUGUAAACCGCUUUCGCCUGUGACGAAGCGUGAGUGACGGUAAUGGGUAAAGAAGCACCGGCUAACUACGUG
rnacentral:rRNA from 1 species